rnacentral:lncRNA from 1 species
GGCAGAGGAAUCUCACCCUCAGGGCCACUUGCUGAGUUCCCUUCACUCUUAGGCCCCUGGAAAGGUCUGAGACUGAGGCCUCCUGCACCCUAACUGUGCUGUUCUGAGCUGGGAGGUAAGCUCCCAGAGUGCAGGCCUCUAUGCUUGGGCAGACUGGGCAAGAGAAGCCCUGAGUGGGUGGAUGCCUCCCUCGCCAGAGCUUAGAGUUUCUAUUUCAUCCAACUUUUCUCUGUG